CGCUGUGACAACCGGAGCCACCCGCGGGGCCGAGCGCGGCCGGGCCGCCCCUCACGGCUGGGCCGCAGCCCGGCCGAGGGACUGGGUUUAGUCUAGGGAAAAAAAGAUAUCACUGAGAGAGGAUCUCAUCCAUACAUUUAAAUAUCCCCAAGGGGAUGGUGCCAGGCUCUUCUCGGUGGUGCCCAGAGACAGCACGAGGAGCAAUGGCUAUAAACUAAAACUCAAGUUCCUCCUCAACACGAGGGAGAACAUGAGAAAUGGUCUUAUUAUGCAGGAAAUUCUCUGUAUUCUGGCUUUUUUCGAAGCCCCUUCACUCAGUCGGCCUCGGCAGUGACCUACAUAACUCCCGUGGCCAAGUUCAGCCACCUCAGACAGUGAAGAGCCUCCCACACUAAUACAAUUACAGAUAAAUCAGUGCAGGCAGGGAAGAGAAGGGCUCGCCUUCCUCGAAAGACCAAGAAGAAUGAAAGGGAGAAGCUCAUGAGGAAAAGGAGAGAGUACAGUACAUCACAGCCCCCCCCCCCAGUCCAUAUUAAGCAGCAAUAAUAACCCGAAUGAAAAAGACUUGAUUUGUAUUUUAUGUCACAUUUUUUAUGUUUUAUUUGUGAGCUGCGGAAUUCAAAAGUAGUCACUCUUUAAAGAGAUUUGAUUUGCCUCAAUGCAAGGUAGUGCUUUCCAACUCUUUGCAGAGGAAAACACCCUGAAACUCUGCCUUUGCAAAGGGAGCUGAUGAGGACUGCAUUCCAGCUCCUGCCUGCCUCCUGCAGAUGUUGAGGACAGGUUGUCUUGCUGAAUGCAAGUUUUACUUCACUCCUCUGCAAAGCAGCAGCUUCACAGAGCUUGCUAGAGCUUGGCAGGACUCAGGGCGGGCCAGUGAUACAGGAGUCAGGCAAAUCACCUCACUAUCCCUUUGCACAGUAAUUUAAUGGCUGAGGUUUCCCAGGAGGAGCCAGGCGAGGAUAUGUGUGGUGAAAAGCAGCAAGGCAUCCAGGCACUGGGCAGAGGAGGUGACAUGUCUGAGGCAGGCAGCAAAAGGAGUGGCAGGUGGUAGGAAAACAGGUGGAGGUCACCUUAUACCCCGGGUCAAAGCUUUACCACACAAGCCAGAAGAAAAAGAGGGUCAUCUCUAUACAAAGAUACACCAUGUUCAGGGGCCACUGAUCCCAGAAGCCAGAGGUCACGUGAAGCAGCUCUGACAGGGCUCCCUUCAGCAAAUUCUACCCCAGUAGACACCACUGCUGCUAUAACCACUUCUUUUACAGAUCUUUCCUUAGACAGCAUGAGGUGAUUUAACAGUCAGACUCUCCAGCCCUCUGGAAAGCCUUGGGGAGAGUCAGAGCAGCACACUGCCAGCACCACUGACCUCAUUUUUCUGAAUGGAACCGGAGACAGAAAGGCAGCUCACAGGGUUCAAAUAAAUGCCACCAUUCCUAAACGUCUCCUGCAGUCAGAGCAAUAUCUAUCUUUAUGUAGGCAGCCUGGAGACAGUUUUACUGCCCCUCCCUCUCCAUGUUCCACAUGCUAUAUAUUUUUUUUCUUCCUAAGUAGCCAUUAGAACUCAGGUACAGUCUUGCUCUGUCUGUGGAAAAGCCUGUGCUGGCCCAGUGCUCUUGUCCACUGGCCUCUUUUCCUAAAGCUUCUGCCUGGUGAUUCUCACUGGAUUUCUGUCAAGCUGCGUGCAAAGAAAGUACCAGUCUGGAAACUCUGGAGACAUAUUAGUGUGGCACUGUGCCAGCACUAAAAUUUAUCAUAAUGGGCAGGACACAGUGUGCUAAAUCAGCUAGAGAGCUUCCAACACAGCUGCAUUACCUCCAGCCCCUCCCAAGUGUGGCCACAGCAGGGGUAUACCCAUUUACAUACAGGCAUAGCCGUUUUUUGGCUCUUUUGGAUAUUUUUAUUUUUUUCUGUCUGCCAAAGCUCGAUGGCAGGUUAUAUUUGGAUCACACCCAGUGUUGAUGUGAAUUGCUUAUACAAUAUCCCAGCUGCUCUGUUGGGAAAACAAAGCAUGUAAAACUAAUAAAGGCAAAUAAAAGCACUGAUUACAUCAGUCCUAGGAAUCCUGCUACUUGUGGGGAAUAAAGUCUAAGUAAAUAUCAAUUUUUAUAUAGUAAGAUACUAUUUAACAGCCCAUUAUUAUGUAAAUAAGGUAUGAGUUUCUCUGAUCCCCUAAGACAAAGAGACUGCUCUGUGGCCAAACAGAUUAGCCUUUUCCAUCUGUGCAAUUAUGAAUCAUAAAAGAUACUUGUGCAAUUUACUGGAAAGGAAAUAAAUAUAUGAAUCAGCUAAAGGAUGCAAUAGUCUGCACCCAGACCUCUGCUCAGCCAGCAUCACCUAUUCAGCAAGGAAAGACUAUGGUGACACCCACUGUACCACCACUGCAAAGUGCUCUGCUACAUCAGCUCCUGAGGAGUUAAAGCACCACUCGUGGAAGUAAAAUUUAACUGUCAACCAGGAAAUUAGAUUAUCUCCUCUGAGAGAAGCACCAUCAGAAGCAUCCAUCAGCACCUGCCAAGUCAUACAUCUUUAUUUCUGUUUGGUUUUGCAGACAAAAGCUUGUACUUUUCUAUUUCCUCUCAUAUGAAUGUCGACAGAGGCUUAAAAAGUCAAACUGCUGCCACACUUUCUACCUAAUUUACUGGACUGUAUCCUUCAUUUGUGUUUCCUUCUGGAAAGUAACUGGUAAAGUGUCCUUUCUGGGUUUUAUGCUGUGAGGCUCUAGAUUACACACGUUAUUUUAAAA